AACGUAGGAUCCGAGCGUUAUCCGAAUUCGCUGGGCGUAAAGCGCGUGCAGGCGGUCCGGUAAGUUGGAUGUGAAAUCUCCUGGCUCAACUGGGAGAGGACGUUCAAUACUGUCGGACUCGAGGACGGUAGAGGGAGGUAGAAUUCCCGGUAUAGUGAUGAAAUGCGUAGAUAUCGGAAGGAAUACCAGUGGCAAAGGCGGCCUCCUGGACCGUUCCUGACGCUCAGACGCGAAAGCUAGGAGAGCAAACGGC
rnacentral:rRNA from 1 species